rnacentral:rRNA from 1 species
CUACGGGUUGCUGCAGUGGGGAAUAUUGGACAAUGGGGGAAACCCUGAUCCAGCAAUGCCGCGUGUGUGAAGAAGGCCUGCGGGUUGUAAAGCACUUUCGGUUGGGAGGACUGCUUCUAGCACUAAUAUUGUUGGAAGUUGACGUUACCUUCAGAAGAAGCACCGGCUAACUCCGUGCCAGCAGCCGCGGUAAUACGGAGGGUGCAAGCGGUUAAUCGGAAUUACUGGGCGUAAAGCGCGCGUAGGCGGCUAGAUCAGUCGGGUGUGAAAGCCCCGGGCGUAACCUGGGAACUGCAUCCGAUACUGGCUAGCUUGAGUACAGGAGAGGAGAGUGGAAUUCCACAUGUAGCGGUGAAAUGCGUAGAUAUGUGGAGGAACACCAAUGGCGAAGGCAGCUCUCUGGCCUGAUACUGACGCUGAGGUGCGAAAGCGUGGGGAGCAAACAGGAUUAGAUACCCGAGUAGUC